GUAGGUGGCAAGCGUUGUCCGGAAUUAUUGGGCGUAAAGCGCGCGCAGGCGGUUCUUUAAGUCUGAUGUGAAAGCCCACGGCUCAACCGUGGAGGGUCAUUGGAAACUGGAGAACUUGAGUACAGAAGAGGAAAGCGGAAUUCCACGUGUAGCGGUGAAAUGCGUAGAGAUGUGGGGGAACACCAGUGGCGAAGGCGGCUUUCUGGUCUGUAACUGACGCUGAGGCGCGAAAGCGUGGGGAGCAAACAGGAUUAGAUACCCUGGUAGUCCACGCCGUAAACGAUGAGUGCUAAGUGUUAGGGGGGUUUUCCGCCCCCCUUAGUGCUGCAGCUAACGCAUUAAGCACUCCGCCUGGGAGUACGGCCGCAAGGCUG
rnacentral:rRNA from 1 species